rnacentral:rRNA from 1 species
GGAAUCUUCGGCAAUGGACGAAAGUCGUGACCGAGCAACGCCGCGUGAGUGAAGAAGGUUUCCGGAUCGUAAAACUCUGUUGGUAGAGAAGAACGUUGGUGAGAGUGGAAAGCUCAUCAAGUGACGGUAACUACCCAGAAAGGGACGGCUAACUACGUGCCAG